UAUGAGAUUGGAGCGUUUGCUCCAAAGUGAACCUGCUUUGGAUCAUAUACACCGUAGGAAUUUUAUAGGAUUGUCCAAUCGUUUGUUUCAAACAGCCAUAUUAUUAUAGUAAAAAAUUACUCCACAAAUCCUCAAUAAUUGAAAGGUGUGCUAGAUUCCAAACAUAGAAGUAACUUUUCUAGCCAAGGAACUGCAUCAAUUUUAUGGAUUGAUGAACUUGACACACAUUAAUGGUGUUAAUUGUGUAAGUUUUGAUCCGUCGUUUAUCUUCACCGCCGCCGAAAUGUGAAGCAGAAGAAUACUACACCAGCAUCUAUCCCUGCAAUAACUCGAUCCCCUCAGUUAGCUUAACAGGUGACUGAACUUCCUCGAUCGGGAGUGGAUUAUGCUCGAUCAGAAGCUUCAGCUAGCUCUGUAAUUGUAUGUGGUAUAUCAAUGCAUGGUGCUAGCAGAAAUUUGUCAUUUUGGCUACUAAACCGGACGGUUUCGCUACAAUAACCAAGGAACAUUGAGCUUCUAUAAAAUGACCCUGUAUCCGAUGUCCCUCCUUAAAAUGAUCAUACCUGUUUAAAGUGCAUAUGUCCUCUUUUUCCUAAAAAACACUUAAAAGUACCAUACUGUCUCUAACUAAC
rnacentral:lncRNA from 1 species